AUUGAACGCUGGCGGCAGGCCUAACACAUGCAAGUCGAGCGGAUGACGGGAGCCUGCUCCUUGAUUCAGCGGCGGACGGGUGAGUAAUGCCUAGGAAUCUGCCUGGUAGUGGGGGGCAACGUUUCGUAAGGCACGCUAAUACCGCAUACGUCCUACGGGAGAAAGCAGGGGACCUUCGGGCCUUGCGCUAUCAGAUGAGCUUGGGGCGGAUUAGCUAGUUGGUGGGGUCGUGGCUAACCAAGGCGACGAUCCGUAACCGGUCUGAGAGGGUGCGCAGUCACACUGGACCUGAGCCACGGUCCAGACUCCUACGGGAGGCAGCAGUGGGUAAUAUUGGACAAUGGGCGCAAGACUGAUCCAGCCAUGCCGGGUGUGUGAAGAAGGACCUCGGAUUGUAAAGCACUUUAAGUUGGGAGGAAGGGCAGUAAGCUAAUACCUUGCUGUUUUGACGUUACCGACAGAAUAAGCACCGGCUAACUCUGUGCCAGCAGCCGCCGUAA
rnacentral:rRNA from 1 species